GUAGGGCGCAAGCGUUAUCCGGAAUUAUUGGGCGUAAAGAGCUCGUAGGCGGUUUGUCGCGUCUGCUGUGAAAUCCCGAGGCUCAACCUCGGGUCUGCAGUGGGUACGGGCAGACUAGAGUGCGGUAGGGGAGAUUGGAAUUCCUGGUGUAGCGGUGGAAUGCGCAGAUAUCAGGAGGAACACCGAUGGCGAAGGCAGAUCUCUGGGCCGUAACUGACGCUGAGGAGCGAAAGGGUGGGGAGCAAACAGGCUUAGAUACCCUGGUAGUCCACCCCAUAAACGUUGGGAACUAGUUGUGGGGUCCUUUCCACGGAUUCCGUGACGCAGCUAACGCAUUAAGUUCCCCGCCUGGGGAGUACGGCCGCAAGGCUA
rnacentral:rRNA from 1 species